rnacentral:rRNA from 1 species
UACGGAAGGCAGCAGUGGGGAAUAUUGCACAAUGGGCGCAAGCCUGAUGCAGCCAUGCCGCGUGUAUGAAGAAGGCUUUCGGGUUGUAAAGUACUUUCAGUCGUGAGGAAGGUGUUAAGGUUAAUAACCUUAGCAAUUGACGUUAGCGACAGAAGAAGCACCGGCUAACUCCGUGCCAGCAGCCGCGGUAAUACGGAGGGUGCGAGCGUUAAUCGGAAUUACUGGGCGUAAAGGGCACGCAGGCGGUUAAUUAAGUUGGAUGUGAAAUCCCCGGGCUUAACCUGGGAAUGGCAUUCAAGACUGGUUAGCUAGAGUCUUGUAGAGGGGGUAGAAUUCCAUGUGUAGCGGUGAAAUGCGUAGAGAUGUGGAGGAAUACCGGUGGCGAAGGCGGCCCCUGGGACAAAGACUGACGCUCAUGUGCGAAAGCGUGGGGAGCAAACAGGGAUUAGAUACC